rnacentral:rRNA from 1 species
UACGGAGGAUCCGAGCGUUAUCCGGAUUUAUUGAGUUUAAAGGGAGCGUAGGCGGGUUGUUAAGUCAGUUGUGAAAGUUUGUGGCUCAACCGUAAAAUUGCAGUUGAUACUGGCAUCCUUGUGUACAGUAGAGGUAGGCGGAAUUCGUGGUGUAGCGGUGAAAUGCUUAGAUAUCACGAAGAACUCCGAUUGCGAAGGCAGCCUGCUGGACUGUAACUGACGCUGAUGCUCGAAAGUGUGGGUAUCAAACAGG